rnacentral:rRNA from 1 species
UUCCGGUUGAUCCUGCCGGAGGCCAUUGCUAUUGGGAUCCGAUUUAGCCAUGCUGAGGCUAAUAGUGCAUCGCACAGUUCACCUGGAACGAGAACUGUGUCAAACGUUCCGACGCCGAAGGACGUGGCUGCGGCCGAUUAGGUAGACGGUGGGGUAACGACCCACCGUGCCAAUAAUUGGUACGGGUGAUGAGAGUCAGAGCCCGGAGACGGAAUCUGAGACAAGGUUCCGGGCCCUACGGGGCGCAGCAGGCGCGAAACCUUUACACUGCACGCAAGUGCGAUAGGGGAAUCCCAAGUGCGAGAGCAUACUAGCUCUCGCUUUUGUUGACUGUAAGGAGGUCAACGAAUAAGAGCUGGGCAAGACCGGUGCCAGCCGCCGCGGUAAUACCGGCAGCUCGAGUGAUGUCCAAUUUUAUUGGGCCUAAAGCGUCCGUAGCUGGCCAGCCAAGUUCGUCGGGAAAUCCACCUGCCCAACAGGUGGGCGUCCGGCGAAAACUGUCUGGCUUGGAACCGGAAGGCUCAGAGGGUACGUCGAGGGUAGGAGUGAAAUCCUGUAAUCCUCGACGGACCACCGAUGGCGAAAGCACUCUGAGAAGACGGAUUCGACAGUGAGGGACGAAAGCUAGGGUCUCGAACCGGAUUAGAUACCCGGGUAGUCCUAGCUGUAAACGAUGCUCGUUAGAUGUGGCACCCACUACGAGUGGGUGCUGUGUCGUAGGGAAGCCGCUAAACGAGCCGCCUGGGAAGUACGUCCGCAAGGAUGAAACUUAAAGGAAUUGGCAGGGGAGCAC